rnacentral:rRNA from 1 species
CGCGUAGGCGGACAUUUAAGUCAGGGGUGAAAUCCCGGGGCUCAACCCCGGAACUGCCCUUGAUACUGGGUGUCUUGAGACCGGAAGAGGCAAGUGGAACUGCGAGUGUAGAGGUGAAAUUCGUAGAUAUUCGCAAGAACACCAGUGGCGAAGGCGGCUUGCUGGUCCGGAUCUGACGCUGAGGCGCGAAAGCGUGGGGAGCAAACA